CUCGCUGUACCUGCCACUAAAGUUGGACUACAGAGAACAAUCUGAUCUCUUCUUUUCCACAUGUGAUGGCGCAUUGGUUUCCUUUCCCAUUGGAGCCAAGUUAACUAUACCGACGCUUCUCCACCCCACAGGGACAUUACUGAACAUGAAUCGUCAGUAACACAGUCUGUAUAAAACUCGAAGCAUCUCUGAAGCUACAAAAACAAAGACAUGAGAUCGCCUUGGAUUCUUAUUCCAGCUCUCCUGAGUACAACACGCUACCAGUGAGGGUUUUUUAAUGAUGUCACACAACUCCUCCUCUAACUCUUACUCUCAUCACUCUGUUCAUCACUCUCGGGGCUUCUGGAAACAAAUGGACUAUGAAAU